rnacentral:rRNA from 1 species
UACGGAGGGGGCAAGCGUUGUUCGGAAUUAUUGGGCGUAAAGAGUAUGUAGGCGGCUAUUUAAGUCAGGCGUGCAAGCCCACGGCUCAACCGUGGAAUUGCGUUUGAAACUAUUUAGCUUGAGUACAGGAGAGGAAGGCGGAAUUCCCAGUGUAGCGGUGAAAUGCAUUGAUAUUGGGAAGAACAUCUGUGGCGAAGGCGGCUUCCUGGGCUAAUACUGACGCUAAGGUGCGAAAGCGUGGGGAGCAAACAGG